rnacentral:tRNA from 1 species
ACCUGGCUGGCUCAGCUGGGAGGAGCAUGGGACUCUUGAUCUCAGGGUCGUGAGUUCGAGUCCCAUAUUGGGUA